GGUUUGGUGGUGCUUUGAAGCCGGUGGGCUUUUCGGAAGGCUGAACGGCGGUUUAAGUAGGACCCGCCCUUGGGGAGGUACCGGUUCGCCAAGAAGUAAAAACUCAAAAAUGAAUUUGACGGGGGGCCCGCACCAAGCGGUGGAAGCAUGUGGUUUAAUUCCGAUGCAACGCCGAGAACCUUACCUACUCUUGACAUCCAGAGAAGCCAGCGGAGACGCAGGUGUGCUUCGGGAGCUCUGAGACAGGUGCUGCAUGGCUGUCGUCAGCUCGUGUUGUGAAAUGUUGGGUUAAGUCCCGCAACGAGCGCAACCCUUAUCCUUGUUUGCCAGCGAGUAAUGUCGGGAACUCCAGGGAGACUGCCGGUGAUAAACCGGAGGAAGGUGGGGACGACGUCAAGUCAUCAUGGCCCUUACGAGUAGGGCUACACACGUGCUACAAUGGCGCAUACAGAGGGCAGCAAGCUAGCGAUAGUGAGCGAAUCCCAAAAAGUGCGUCGUAGUCCGGAUUGGAGUCUGCAACUCGACUCCAUGAAGUCGGAAUCGCUAGUAAUCGUAGAUCAGAAUGCUACGGUGAAUACGUUCCCGGGCCUUGUACACACCGCCCGUCACACCAUGGGAGUGGGCUGCAAAAGAAGUGGGUAGUUUAAAUUCUCGGGGAGGACG
rnacentral:rRNA from 1 species